AUUAAAUAAGAGCCUUGAGAUGUCCAGUAAUAGCAACAUUCUACACUGGCAGAGUAUUUGGUCCUUUUCAAAAGAUUGGCAUUAUAAAAAUAUGAUCACCAUAGCCCUAUCAGAAAAGAUAUUUGAUUCAGGGACAUCCAAAGAAGAGAAUUCAUCCUUAAAGUUCAAUUCUUCAACCAGCAAAUUAAUAAAACAUAGCACACCUGUGGAUGCCACACUGUCUAAAAGCAUGAUUUCUAUAGACAGUAUAUCCUACCUAAAAGAAGCUGGAAGUGAAAGGGGAAUUCCUAUGGAGUCUCCCCUGCCCAAAACACCAUUUCUAGAAUUUUCGGCUCAUCCAGAUACAAAAAGUCUCAAACCUUUUGGUCAAAGGAAGAGACUUUCUACAGUAUCUGCUUCUGAGGAAUCCAAUGCAGAGGUACAAAACAGCUUGAACCUCUCUUCAGCCAAGCAGGGACAUCAAGUUUCUGAUCCAUUAACCAAGAAAAAGAGUAAGAUAUCUUUCAAGAAAAAGAGUAAGAUAUCUUUCAAAAAAUGGUGCUGUUAUGGAUUACCUGGAAUAAAGGACCCUGUUGAAAGAAAAGGUCGUUUUAACAAGAGACAUGUGGCAAAUGACUUGAGCCCAUGGGAACUUCUUCAACUUCAAAACAUUGAAGAAGCUACACAUCAUGAAUUAGUUAUUGAAGUCACAAGAUAAUCUUCAAGAAAACCUAUAAAUGUAUUCUGUUUGAAACUUCUAUAAGUUCUUCCCACAUAAAUAAUAAAUGCUGCAUUUUGUUGUACUUAAACAAAUGAGCUUAUUUGUAGCAUAAAAGCAUACUUUUAUUUUUGAAUUUAGUUUAAUACAUUGGUUGAAUAAACUCUAGAAAUGCAGAAAUCCUCAGAUCUAAGUUUACAAACAUAUUAGUAAUCAAGGUUUAAUUAACAUACAAUAAAAAUGAUUGCACAUGAAGCUGUGAAUCUAUGUACAACUUGCUAUUCUUUUUAAAUGUAUAAUAAAAUUAUGUUUAUUCCUUCCCCCCCCUUUCUCUCUCCCCUCUAAAGAUAAGUACCAUUACACAAAUAGGUGUGCGUGUCUGUGUAAAAUUUUUCUAUAUACUUCCAUUUAUCAGUUCUUUUUCUUGAUGCAGAUAGCCUCUUCAUAUCCUUUAUUUUAAAAAAAGAAUGUAUAGAUUAAAAUUUAGAAAGGUAGAAGGGAAGAUAAAGGAGAGACUCUUAGAGAUAGGUAAAAUAAGGAAUGUAAGAGUCAGAAGAAAAAAAACCAGAAUAGGACUGAAAGGAUGAGAAGGAAAAUGAGUAAAAAUAAGAUGAAGGGUAAUUUACAAAUAGUAAUAACUUUGAAUGGGAUGUUUAUAGCAACUUGCUGUGGCAAAAACCCUGAAAAUUUCAGGGGAUGCCCAUCAACUAGGGAAUGGCUGAAUAAGUUGUACUAUGUGACUGCAAUGGAAUAUUGUGCUAGAAGAUAUGAUGAUCUAAAUGAUUUUUUUUAAGAUAUGAAAAGAUUUGCAUGAAAUAAUGAAGAGCAAAAUGAACAGAACCAAGAGAACAUUGUCUGCAGUAAAAAUGUUUUAAGACAUGCAGACUAUUUUAAAGAAGAAAAAGAUGCAACAGGCUUUGGUUCACAUUGUGUUAAAUCUUUUCAAGUGCCUUAUGAGGAGAGCAUUUUUCCUUCCAAAAGAGGAAUGCUUUACCCUUAUUAUCUGAAUUAUAAAUGGGUUCAAGAAUUUUGAAAGAUUUUGUAAACGAUGCUGGGGCUGAUGAGCAAAACCAGAGCUCUGAAUUACCUAGAUUUUAAAAGGAGUAAUUUUUUUUCUAAUGACAAAUUUCUCAACUUGAUAGCUUGGAAUAAUGGUGUCAAGAUAACGUUGCAUAAGAUAAUAUAGUGGUGAGGAACAGGUUACAUCUCACUGCAAUUUGCUUUCUCUUGAUAUGUUUAGGAAUUCUUUUAUUUUGCCUACAUAAUUGUAAGUGCCCUAACUACUUUUGCAAUAAUAUCUUAGAUGAUUUUUUUCAUGUACCUUUUCUUCUUUGAGGUAGGUGCUUAAUGUUUAUUGAAUUGAAUCAAUGUUGAGCAUUUUUAAAAGGGGGUAAAUGAUAGGCCUUGGUCUGAGGGAGGAAACAACAAUCGAACACAUACAAAGCAAGCUGCAUGCAGAAUAAAAAUGUAAUGAUUAAAAGGGGAGGCACUGGAAUUAAGAGGGGUUGGAAAAGGCAUCCCGUAAAAAGGAGAAUUUUAGUUGAUAGAGGUCAUUAGGAGGAUGAGCAUUCCAGGCACGAGGAAGAACCUGAGAGAAUGCCCAGGAAUGUGAGAUGGGGGUCUUGUUUGUUGGAAAGUUAGGAGACAGCUAGGAGGAUGUUGCUGAAUUAAAGAGUAAGAAUUUGGAGAGUAUGGUGAAAAAAUACUGGCAAAGUAGGAGGGCACUAGGUCAUAAAGGUCUUUCAAUGCUCAUCGGAGCAUUUUGUAUUUGUUCCUGGAGGCAAUAGGAAACUAUUGGGGUUAUUAAAUAGGGGAGAGUGUUAUGUAAUAUGAUCAGGUCUGUGUUUUAAGAAAAUCACUUAAGUGGCUGAAUGGAGGAUGGAUUAGAGAGGAGAGUAGAAGGCAGCAAUAGUUCAGAUGUGUGAAAUGAAGAGGCUCUGCACUAGGAUAGUGAUGUCAGAGGAGAGAAGGGGGCUGAUAAGGAAUAUUGUAAAGGUGAAAUGGACAGGCCUUGGCCACAACUUGGAGAGAGAGAUGUGUUCCUCCUUCCUCCUCCCCCUCUUGUUUCUUCCUUCUUUCUCUCUUCUUUCUUCCUACCUCUUUCCUCUUCCUUAUUUCUUUUUUCUCCUUUCUUUCUCUUCCUCUUCUCCUCCUCUUCCUCUUUUCCCUCCUCCUCCUCUGGGUCUGUCUUUCUGUAUCUUUUUCUCUCUCUUUCUCCCUUCCUCUCUCUCCCUCUUUCUCCCCCUUUCUCUUUUCUCCCUCUCUCUCUCUCUCUCUCCCAUUCUCCUUCUUUCUCUUCUUUUCUCCCUCCUGCAUUUCUUUGCAUUCUAAGGACUUGUCUUAGAGUCUGGUAUAUAAUAAACAUUUUAUAAAGCUUGUUGAUUUGAUUUGACUUCUUUGGCAAUGUGUGACCAGUACAAAUAAAUUGUAAAUCGGGACAAAAUAUUAAGAAUGGUAAUUAUUAAAUAUUUAAUUCUAAUUCAAUAAACAACUAUUUUGUAUUAACUGUGUGCCAGCCAUAAUGAUAGGGAAUGAUGACACAAUGAAAAAAAUCAAAUGAUAUCUAACUUCCAGUUCCACAAAUACUACCAAUAGCACUACUGUUUAUUGU
ensembl:lncRNA